rnacentral:lncRNA from 1 species
UGCGUGGCCGCUCCAUCUGCCUUGCGCAAGUCACCAGGUGCCCCAGCAUGAUCUCGGGCGCCCCUCACGCGAUCCACGCGAUUAUCGUGCGCACAGGGCCUCCCGCUCGACUCAUUUAUCUUGCUUGCAGUUUAUGGGAAUCGCCACCGUCCCCCUCUGCCCUGCUCGUCGGUGUUCGCCCCCUCGAACGAUCUCGGGAUCCACACAGCUGACCUCAUCAUGCCAGCGUGGCGCGUCUCUAGGACACGAAUCGCCGCACAUCGAGCAUUUCCCCACGUCCCGAUCACGUCGCCCGUGUGCGGGGGCUGAACGUCGGACUGACC